AUAAAGUCGGGUAUGKAUACCCGUUUGCAUGUACUUUAUGAAUAAGGAUCGGCUAACUCCGUGCCAGCAGCCGCGGUAAUACGGAGGAUCCGAGCGUUAUCCGGAUUUAUUGGGUUUAAAGGGAGCGUAGAUGGAUGUUUAAGUCAGUUGUGAAAGUUUGCGGCUCAACCGUAAAAUUGCAGUUGAUACUGGAUAUCUUGAGUGCAGUUGAGGCAGGCGGAAUUCGUGGUGUAGCGGUGAAAUGCUUAGAUAUCACGAAGAACUCCGAUUGCGAAGGCAGCCUGCUAAGCUGCAACUGACAUUGAGGCUCGAAAGUGUGGGUAUCAAACAGGAUUAGAUACCCUGGUAGUCCMCACGGUAAACGAUGAAUACUCGCUGUUUGCGAUAUACGGCAAGCGGCCAAKCGAAAGCGUUAAGUAUUCCACCUGGGGAGUACGCCGGCAACGGUGAAACUCAAAGGAAUUGACGGGGGCCCGCACAAGCGGAGGAACAUGUGGUUUAAUUCGAUGAUACGCGAGGAACCUUACCCGGGCUUAAAUUGCAGAUGAAUUACGGUGAAAGCCGUAAGCCGCAAGGCAUCUGUGAAGGUGCUGCAUGGUUGUCGUCAGCUCGUGCCGUGAGGUGUCGGCUUAAGUGCCAUAACGAGCGCAACCCUUGUUGUCAGUUACUAACAGGUUCCGCUGAGGACUCUGACAAGACUGCCAUCGUAAGAUG
rnacentral:rRNA from 1 species